rnacentral:tmRNA from 1 species
GGGGGCGAUUAGGAUUCGACGCCGGUGACAAAACCUUAAGUGCAUGUGGUGAUGGCAGCCAAUCACCUUAAUCCAAAGCUGCAUCUGAAUAGUCGCAAACGACGAUUCUUACGCUUUAGCCGCUUAAGGCUAACGGUCGAUAACAAGGUGCCUGUACCGCGUUUUCGCCCGUCAUACAGAACAGGAUCGCAGCAAAAUCUGCCUGGGGUGGAGCUGUUAAACUCUUAUCAGGAUCGCUCUUUUCGCCCUGCCCGUUGGGCCGCUAAGAGUUAAAUCAAUAAACGGAUCUAAACAUGUAGAUCUUAAGGCGGAGCGCUGACGGACGCGGGUUCAAAUCCCGCCGCCUCCACCA